rnacentral:tRNA from 1 species
GCUCAGUGGUCUAUCGGUCAUGUGCUCUGGCUUGAGACCAGUAGGUCCUGGGUUCGAAUCUCGCUCGUGAGGCG